CACACCUUAUCACAAUAUUUGUGGUCUUGGCAGGAGUGAAUUGCUGGUCUAUGGAAGUAUUCCAGCAGUACACAAUGCUAAAAAAUAUGGGAAGGUUACCAGAUAUGAACAACAGACUUUGUAAAUGGUUGUAGGACCUAGAUCAGUCACAAGUCAUGUCUGGUCCCUUACCUUAAGGACCCCCAUCCUAGAUGAACUAUG
rnacentral:misc_RNA from 1 species